CUCGCACCGGAUUGAUCCUGACCCCUUGACACUCAGCAUUCCUCCUGUCUGCAAAAGCUGGCACACUUCAGCACACAAAAAAGGCGCUGUAUUUCCAUCACCAAAUGGCAUUUCCCCCCUUCCAGCCUCAUACUCCUGAUUUUAUAUGAUGUAAAAUACUUUUCAAAAUUAUUUUUAGAUGACAAACCUCUGUUUCAAACUACUUUUGCUUUGCCCACCCUACCUCCAAAUUACAUAAAUCGUAUUAACAAGCACUUCACUACAAGAUACAAACUCCUGGGAAUUCUGAACCAACGAAGACGUCUUAAAUAUCUAUCGGGACAGGAUACAUUUGAACCACCACCAGCAGCCCUGGUAACAAGAAAGGAGCUGUUUUAAAACCCACAGGAGUUCAAAAGAAACUGCAUAUGUUCUCUAUGAAUAGAGAGUCCCUAUUUACCCUGAAAUACUUGGCACAAUGAAGUGAGGCUGAAGUGUGGAAGAAGUGUCUCUUAUUUCCCACUGCCUGCUUGCAGCUGUCAUUGUUCACUUGAUCAAGUAUCAGACAUACUGAAACCUGGCAGGACUACAGGAAAGUGGCUAGACUUGGAGUGUUUGUGUACUUAAAGAAGGAAUCUUGCACAUUUUCAACUUUCAGUCUCAGAUAUUUUCUUAUAAGAGCAAUUGGAAGUCUGAGCCAGCCCUCAAAGCGGAAAUCAAUAGCUCCCAGAGAAACAUACCCAAGGAAUGUGAAUCUGAUCCAGGAACCAUACGCAAUGCACAUACAGUACCGUCUUCCUUAUAGGAAGUCUGGCCGUAUAUGGACAUGUGUACCCUGAGCUAUUUUUCAUCAUGAUGGUCUUGUAGUUGGCUAUAGACAUUUCUAGUUUGCCCCAGGUUUAACAAUGUACAUUAAUUUCCCUCCCCAAAAGCCCUCCAGAAUAUUUCUUAAAUUGUAAUAAAUAUUAUCCUAAAAUCCUAAGGGAUCCAGUUAAACUUACAUCAACAUGUAUUUGUUUAAAAUAAAGACUUGCUGUGCUACUGCAGAAGUGGAAAUGAAGUAAAAAUAAAAAGCUCUACUCUGUCUUGAA